rnacentral:rRNA from 1 species
AUUGAACGCUGGCGGCAGGCCUAACACAUGCAAGUCGAGCGAGCGGCGGACGGGUGAGUAAUGUCUGGGAAACUGCCUGAUGGAGGGGGAUCACUACUGGAAACGGUAGCUAAUACCGCAUACCAUCAGAUGUGCCCAGAUGGGAUUAGCUAGUAGGUGGGGUAUUGGAUCACCUAGGCGACGAUCCCUAGCUGGUCUGAGAGGAUGACCAGCCACAAUGGACCGUAGACACGGUCCAGACGCCUACGGGAGGCAGCAGUGGGGAAUAUUGCACAAUGGGCGCAAGCCUGAUGCAGCCAUGCCGCGUGUGGGAAGAAGGCCUUCGGGUUGUAAAGCACUUUCAGCGGGGAGGCGUUACUCGCAGAAGAAGCACCGGCUAACUCCGUGCCAGCAGCCGCGGUAAUUC